GCCGGGAUGGUGAAAUGGUAGACACAGGGGACUUAAAAUCCCCAGGGAGCACAACUCCCGUGCCGGUUCGAGUCCGGCUCCCGGCA
rnacentral:tRNA from 1 species